CACCGGAAAAAGAGGAGUGGCGAACGGGUGAGUAACACGUGGGUAACCUGCCCAUCAGAAGGGGAUAACACUUGGAAACAGGUGCUAAUACCGUAUAACAAUCGAAACCGCAUGGUUUUGAUUUGAAAGGCGCUUUCGGGUGUCGCUGAUGGAUGGACCCGCGGUGCAUUAGCUAGUUGGUGAGGUAACGGCUCACCAAGGCCACGA
rnacentral:rRNA from 1 species